GGGACCCGCUCGCCGAACUCUGCCGGCGGCCCGUUGCGUUCAGUGCAAGGCAGAGACGGAGGACCCACCUGGCGGCCGCGCCCGCUCUCCCGAGCGGAGGUGCGCCCUUGGGGUGAAGCCCAUGCCCAUCGGCAGGGCCGGAUGGCUCGCAUCCGAACCCGACAGCUAACUUCGCAGGCGCCAACGAGAGGCCCA
rnacentral:sRNA from 2 species